CUAACACUUCAGUGUCAAGUAAAUGGAUUUCCUCAUCAUUCCAAAGUAGCUGAAUAAAAUGUGUGCUUUUGUUCCUCAGCCCUUUGUGUCAUUUGAGACAGCUGUCUGUCCUCUUCAGUAGGUGACAUUCAGCACAUUCAUUUGAGCCAGGACUUAGGGAAUCUUCACAUGCUACGGCCAUGCUGACCUUUUCACUGAAUUUGACAAUCCUCCGUCAUUCUUUCCCUAGGAACACCAAGGACUCAGUUCCAUUCAUUAAUUCCUGUGGGCAUAUCCUUGACUCAUGACAUUACAGGUUCUCCAUGAAAAGACCAGAAGGCAUUUGGAAUAAUGGUAUUGAGGGGUUCUCAAUAUGGAACUUUCGGGUUGAGGACCCACAGAACAGAAGCGACUUAGAAAGAGAUCAUCAUGACGAGACUUCAGGCUAAUCAAGCCAUUGGUUCCCGUUAGCAUUCUGACAGAAUUCCGGAUCCUCAGUGUGUCCUCACAACCCCCCUCAGAGACAGACGACCGGCAUCUUUAAGAACCCAGACCUUCUUGUCAGCCUUAAACUUGCCACCUGAGUCUCCAGAGAGUAGAGAUGAUUAUUCCUGAUUUGAAUAAGGAUGCUGAGAUUCAGAGAGCAGUGAAUUGGUAAAGUGUGAUGAGUUUUUCUUGAGCAACCCCACGGCAAGGUCCAAGCCCUCCUGAAUCUCCGAAAUGAAGCCCAGAUGAUGCCCAGGAGCAUCAGCGUGGUCUUCUUGUCUCCUUGUUCCUCACUCAGCAGUGUAUCCAAAUGUUGCUGAGUCUCCAAUGCAUGGGCAGGUGCAUGAGUGUCCCUCUCCAUGGAGUUAUGGUGACUUCCACGCUGCGUGAAGAUCCUCCUGACAGCCUCUCAGGUAGACGCAGUACGCUGAUGGUGAGAAAACCACAGAGCCUUGUCUCCUGGAGCUUUUGGGUCUGUGGGGAAGACAAGCAACCAAACAAGCAAUGGCCAUCAAGCGAGGCAGAUGCUGUGACAGAGGAGGCCCACCUCACUAGAGGAGGGGACAGGGAAGGCUUCCCAGAGAAGGACAACUCGAGUCCAGAGCUUCGAAGCUGCAUCUCAGCUGGCUAGGUCUAUAGGAGGCAUGGCUAAUCCAGGCUGAAGGAAAAGGCAAGAGGCACAUUCUGCUCUGAAAAAAAAUUAAAGGAAGGUGAAGGAAGAGAGAGGAAGGGAGGUAAUAAAGAGAAGGAGAAAGGGAGAAAAGAAGGAAGGAAGCUCAUUUUGGCUAAAACAUAGAGUUAGACAGUGGGGUAGUGUGCAAAGAGAGAUGAAGUUUGCAAGGGAGGUAGAGGCCAGGUGAGAAAGAACCUGGGGGCCCUUCUCAUGGAUUCAAUGUGACCUAAGAGGAAG
rnacentral:lncRNA from 1 species